rnacentral:rRNA from 1 species
CCUACGGGAGGCUGCAGUGGGGAAUAUUGGGCAAUGGGCGCAAGCCUGACCCAGCAACGCCGCGUGAAGGAAGAAGGCUUUCGGGUUGUAAACUUCUUUUAUCAGGGACGAAGCAAGUGACGGUACCUGAUGAAUAAGCUACGGCUAACUACGUGCCAGCAGCCGCUGUAAUACGUAGGGGGCAAGAGUUAACCGGAUUUACUGGGUGUAAAGGUCGUGCAGGCGGGAGUGCAAGUCAGAUGUGAAAAUUAUGGGCUCAACCCAUAGCCUGCAUUUGAAACUGUACUUCUUGAGUGCUGGAGAGGCGAUCAGAAUUCCGGGUGUAGCGGUGAAAUGCGUAGAUAUACGGAGGAACACCAGUGGCGAAGGCGGAUUGCUGGACGGUAACUGACGCUGAGGCGCGAAAGCGUGGGGAGCAAACAGGAUUAGAUACCCGGGUAGUC